rnacentral:rRNA from 1 species
CUAUGAUACCCUUAGAUGUUCUGGGCCGCACGCACGCUACACUGACAGAGCGAACGAGUUCAUCACCUUGUCCGAAAGGUCUGGGUAAUCUUGUGAAUCUCU